rnacentral:rRNA from 1 species
UAAGACUCUCGGCAAUGGAUAUCUUGGCUCUUGCAUCGAUGAAGAGCGCAACGAAAUGCGAUACGUGGUGUGAAUUGCAGAAUCCCGUGAACCAUCUAGUUUUUGAACGCCCGUUGCACCCGAGGUCAAUUGGCUGAGGGCACGUCCGCCUGGGCGUCAAGCAUUACUUCGCUUC